rnacentral:lncRNA from 1 species
GACUCCAUCUAAAAAAAAAAAAAGAAAGAAAAGAAAAGAAAAGAAAAAAAGAAAAAGAAACAAAAAAGUGUGCUCCCAAUCCAGAAAACCUCUCCACAAAGGUAGAAGAGAAAAGUUUUGUUGUUGAAUAGCCAUUAAGCCAGAAGGUGAUAUGCAUCAGAAGCAACAGCGAAGAGAUUGCAAAGAAAGAUCUCAUCCUUUUAAAGACCCAAACAGAUACAACGCACUGCAUGAGUGUUUUCAACAUAAACAAUAACUACUCCUUAAGGAAGAGGCCCUGACAGUGCCAUUUGUCACACACCAUUGACCCCAGAGCCACCUGGUCAUUGGGGUUACCAUGUGUUUGUUAAUUGCCUGUAUCCAGAGGAAGAAUAAACUCCUAUCUUCAUGACAGGAGGUAGUUUUGCAGCUUGGAGCAAGACGGACUAAGUUAGGCUCUUGGCGUCCCUCGGAAACCAGAGAGGCCAGGAGACAGUUUAGGAGACCGAGCUGGGCAGCUCGCCUGAGGUCAGGAGUUCAAGACCAGCCUGGCCAACAUGGAGAAACCCUGCCUCUACUGAAAAUACAAAAAAAUUAGCCAGGCACAGUGGCACACAUCUGUAAUCCCAGCUACUCGGGAGGCUGAGGCAGGAGAAUCGCUUGAAUCCAGGAGGUGGAGGUUGUGGUGAACCGAGAUUGCGCCACUGCACUCCAGCCUGGGUGACAGAGCGAGACUCCAUCUCAAAAAGAAAAAAGAGUCAUGCUCAGAGAAAAAGGAGAGAAAAAUCUCUUCCCUUCUUUUCAAUCAGGAGAAUUAAGCCUCUGUUUUUAAUUUGUCUCUGUCCUUGAAGGGCAUGGGGUGGUCUCAAGGGCACAGGGCACUUACCAGACAAGGUUGGCCUCGGUACCUGCCAGGGCCUCUUCCAACUCUGAGAUCAUUAGCAUCAAGGAUAAGCUUUGGAGCUUAUUGAUAGCAGCUUAAGUACCACGAUCAGGAACGCUGUCAGUGCUAACAAGUAACAUCAGGACAAAGAAUUCACAUUUCACAUAAAGGACAGAAUGCAAGUCAGAAACAAAAAUCCACCCAUGUCUUGGUCCUGGGACCUGGCUGCGGAGGGCGGUGUGGUCUGGAGAACAGAGUGCCAGCCAGGCCUGGUGCCCCGACUUCUAGACAGGACUCUGGCCUGUCUGUAAGAGUUGGUGCAGGCUGAACACAGCGGCUCACACCUGUAAUCCCAACACUUUGGGAGGGGAGGCUGAGGUGGCCAGAUCAUGAGGUCAGGAGAUUGAGGCCCUCCUGGCCAACAUGGUGAAACCCCAUCUCUACCAAAAAUACAAAAAUUAGCUGGGCAUGGUGGCGCAUGCCUGUCAUCCCAGCUACUCGGGAGGCUGAGGCAGGAGAAUCACUUGAACCAGUGAGUUGGAGGUUGCAGUGAGCUGAGAUCGUGCCUCUGUACUCCAGUCAGUGUGACAGAGCAAGAUUCCGUCUCAAAAAAAAAAAAA